CACGGAGUUAGCCGGUGCUUCUUCUGCGGGUAACGUCAAUUGCUGAGGUUAUUAACCUCAACACCUUCCUCCCCGCUGAAAGUACUUUACAACCCGAAGGCCUUCUUCAUACACGCGGCAUGGCUGCAUCAGGCUUGCGCCCAUUGUGCAAUAUUCCCCA
rnacentral:rRNA from 1 species